AAACCGUUGAAAGGGAAGCGAAUGGAGUUAGCAAUUUGCCCANRSUCAGAUUCAGCCGKUCGUUCCUCGCCACGUUCGCGUUCCCGAUCCCCGUUGUGGACGGGACGUGCACGGAUGCGAUGUGCGGCCGGCGCACUUCUGGCGGGCAAGCGUNAGCRUCGGUUGCCGACGGGUGUGAAGGACUCGAGGAAGGUGGGCCGGUCGUCAUGGUCGGUUGUUAAGCCUCGAGCUCGCACGACCCGUUUCCGACCGUGGCCRUAUCAGGUUGCGACGCGUGCCUGGCUGGCRACUCGUACGAUCGAUCCGGCAUGUCGACCGUGGCGGACGGCACGCCUGUGCGCUCGAACUGCUGCCGGUCGAUCGGACGAUGUUCGCACACUACGCGUCGAAGAUGCUGACGAGCAUACGGCUUCAUCCGACCCGUCUUGAAACACGGACCAAGGAGUCUAACAUGUGCGCNAGUCUCUGGGUGAUNGAAACCCGUGGGCGCAAUGAAGGUAAAGGCCAUCCUAGAUGGCUGAGGUGAGAACGCCUUUUCGGCGCGCAUCAUCGACCGACCUAUUCUGCUCUCAGAAAGGUUUGAGUGAGAGCGUACCUGCUGGGACCCGAAAGAUGGUGAACUAUGCCUGAAUAGGGCGAAGCCAGCGGAAACACU
rnacentral:rRNA from 1 species